rnacentral:rRNA from 1 species
AGCGGCAAAAGCUCAAAUUUGAAAUCUGAGGCUCUCCAGCCCCCGAGUUGUAAUUUGAAGAUGGUGUUCUGGUGCCGGCGCCCUGUCUACGUUCCUUGGAACAGGACAUCGCAGAGGGUGAGAAUCCCGUGUGGCGGGGCGGCCUGGCUCCGUGUAGAGCGCCAUCGACGAGUCGAGUUGUUUGGGAAUGCAGCUCUAAGUGGGUGGUAAAUUCCAUCUAAAGCUAAAUAUUGGCGAGAGACCGAUAGCGAACAAGUACAGUGAUGGAAAGAUGAAAAGAACUUUGAAAAGAGAGUGAAAAAGUACGUGAAAUUGUUGAAAGGGAAGGGUAUUGGAUCAGACUUGGUGCUGUGCGAAUAGCGGCUCUUCCUGGGCCGCCCCACUCGCACUCCACCGGGCCAGCAUCGGUUUGGGCGGCAAGACAAUGGCGGGGGAACGUGGCACUGCUCUCGGGCAGUGUGUUUAUAGCCCUCGCUGAUGUUGCCUGCCUAGACCGAGGACUGCGGCUUCUGCCUAGGAUGCUGGCGUAAUGAUCCAACACCGCCCGUCU